AUCAUUUUAUUUGACAUCUUAGCAUUAUUUGACUUCCCUCUCUAUGAGAGCAAGGUCACUUAUGUCACUCAAAUACCUAACUGGGACUAUAUUUUAUUUGUUCUGAUUUUGAGAUUGUCAUUAAAUAAGCUAGCUGUUUAUUCCAUGUCAGUUUGUAGGAUUGAUAGGUUCUGACACAACAUCAUGUUAUUUAUUUAUUUUUUUGUAGACCUACCCCAAUCCACUGCAAGACAAUCAUUCCUAUUAAGCUGUUAAUCAAUGAAUCUCUUUUUCACCAGGCAGUAUUUUGUCAAUGAGGAUGAUACUGUUGCUCAGCAGAUUAUUGUCCACAAGAAUAGCCCAGGAGGGACACAUUUUCGCCGUGUAGGACCUUGCCAAAAGGUGUAUUUUGAGUCUGACGAAGUGCACGCAUCUAUAGUAACAUGUGGUGGUCUGUGCCCUGGUAUAAAUACUGUAAUUAGGGAAAUAGUAUGUGGCCUAUACUACAUGUAUGGUGUAAACAAAGUUCUUGGAAUAGAGGUAACUCUUUUAUCAUGUACCUCAGUUGAAAUUUAUGCCUAACUUGCUUUAAUAUGUUUUUCCCAAGAGUAAAAGUCCUGAUUUUGUGGCCUAUACUACACGUAUGGUGUAAACAAUGUUCUUGGAAUAGAG